rnacentral:tRNA from 1 species
UCCCUAGUGGCUCAGAUGGUAAAGCAUCUGCCUACAAUGCAGGAGACCUGGGUUCGAUCCCUGGGUUGGGAA